rnacentral:RNase_P_RNA from 1 species
CGAGUCGGUUGGACGGCUGCGGCUCGGAGAACUGGUAGAGCGAUUCUGCCAAGCUCCAGGCCGAGGAAAGUCCGGACUCCACAGAGCAGGGCGGUUGCUAACGGCAACCCGAGGUGACUCGCGGGACAGUGCCACAGAAAAUAGACCGCCUGCGUCGAAGAAAUCUCCUUCGGAGAGAUCUCGACGCGGGUCAGGGUGAAACGGUGCGGUAAGAGCGCACCAGCACCCCAGGUGACUGGGGUGGCUAGGUAAACCCCGCCCGGAGCAAGGUCGAAGGCCGUACCUUCUAGCGAAGGUUCGGCUGCGCAGGUGCUCGAGGGCUGCUCGCCCGAGCCUGCGGGUGGACUGCUCGAGGUACCCGGCGACGGUGUGCCCAGAUGGAUGGUCGUCGCUUCUUUCCUCGUCUCGGCGAGGGGAGGAUCACAGGAUCCGGCUUAUAUACCGACUCGUUCG